GCUAUCUCCACAUUUGUCUGGCAGGCUCUGCAAGGGGGAUUGAGGCCAGUGGUUCUCUGUGUCCCAGAGGUGUCCCUGGGAGAUGUAGUGUCACUGGACUAGAGAUUCAUCCUUGCUGUCUCUGAUGCAAGACGAUUGUAUCAAUUCAGGCUCUGGAGGUAUCGGAAUUGCGUUUACACUUACAGAAUUCUGCCCAAUGAAGACGAUAAAUUCACUGUUCAGGCAUCCGAAGGCGUCUCCAUGAGGUUCUUCACCAAGCUGGACCAGCUCAUCGAGUUUUACAAGAAGGAAAACAUGGGGCUGGUGACCCAUCUGCAAUACCCUGUGCCGCUGGAGGAAGAGGACACAGGCGACGACCCUGAGGAGGACACAGAAAGUGUCGUGUCUCCACCCGAGCUGCCCCCAAGAAACAUCCCGCUGACUGCCAGCUC
rnacentral:sRNA from 1 species